UACGGGGGGGGCAAGCGUUGUUCGGAAUUAUUGGGCGUAAAGGGCGCGUAGGCGGUGCGGCAAGUCUCCUGUGAAAUCUCCGGGCUUAACUCGGAGCCUGCAGGAGAAACUGCCGUGCUUGAGUGUGGGAGAGGUGAGUGGAAUUCCCAGUGUAGAGGUGAAAUUCGUAGAUAUUGGGAAGAACACCGGUGGCGAAGGCGGCUCACUGGCUCAUUACUGACGCUCAGGCGCGAUAGCGUGGGGAUCAAACAGG
rnacentral:rRNA from 1 species